rnacentral:lncRNA from 1 species
CUUGCUCAGUGACUGUGGUGAGGACUGGAGAUUCCUUCCUCUUUCUCAGAGGCAACCAGCUUUGCCUCAGAGGAGGAAGGACCUGCGCGAGCUGAGAGCGGCUCCCUGCCCGUCUGCCACCAAAGGGAACUCUCUCAGCUGCCCUGCUCUUUCCCAGUCUCCAUCAUAAUUACUGGAUGGAGGCCCACGGAGAAGAGCUUUUGAGUGACAGCCGACUUUCCUAGAGAUUCUAAACUUUCACAGAGCCUUCACUCAGCCUUUAACAAUAUGUUAACAUUUUAGAUAUUUUCAGAUUACUCACUUUUAUUGUGGCUGCCUCUUCCUUCCAUGUUGUACCAAAGGAAAAAAACUCCAGGUAUCCUGUGUCCUCGGAGGGACUUUGGAUUCAAUGUGCCUGAUUGCCUGGGGAACUCAGCAUCCUGAAUAAGAUAAAUAAAAGGUAAUUUUUGAAACCUUCUUGUGUCUCUAGCUCACUUUAGCAGAGUUCCUAUUUAUGUACCAGUUGGCAAAUCAGGAAAGGUUCCUACGUGCUUGUCCUUUGAAUGCCUCUAGGAGAAGAUUCAGUCAAAGGACUCGACCUAAAAUUCGUAGGCUUAUGGAUUCUCCAGGAC